AUUGAACGCUGGCGGCAGGCCUAACACAUGCAAGUCGAGCGGAUGACGGGAGCUUGCUCCUUGAUUCAGCGGCGGACGGGUGAGUAAUGCCUAGGAAUCUGCCUGGUAGUGGGGGACAACGUUUCGAAAGGAACGCUAAUACCGCAUACGUCCUGCGGGAGAAAGCAGGGGACCUUCGGGCCUUGCGCCAUCAGAUGAGCCUAGGUCGGAUUAGCUAGUAGGUGAGGUAAUGGCUCACCUAGGCGACGAUCCGUAACUGGUCUGAGAGGAUGAUCAGUCACACUGGAACUGAGACACGGUCCAGACUCCUACGGGAGGCAGCAGUGGGGAAUAUUGGACAAUGGGCGAAGGCCUGAUCCAGCCAUGCCGCGUGUGUGAAGAAGGUCUUCGGAUUGUAAAGCACUUUAAGUUGGGAGGAAGGGUUGUACGUUAAUACCGUGCAAUUUUGACGUUACCGACAGAAUAAGCACCGGCUAACUCUGUGCCAGCCGCCGCGGUAA
rnacentral:rRNA from 1 species